rnacentral:rRNA from 1 species
UACGCAGGUGGCAAGCGUUGUCCGGAUUUACUGGGCGUAAAGGGCGUGCAGGCGGUUUGUUAAGUUCAGGGUGAAAGCUCCCGGCUCAACUGGGAGAGGUCCUUGGAUACUGGCAGACUUGAGGAGGGUAGAGGAGAGUGGAAUUCCCGGUGUAGUGGUGAUAUGCGUAGAUAUCGGGAGGAACACCAGUGGCGAAGGCGGCUCUCUGGGCCCUACCUGACGCUGAGACGCGAAAGCGUGGGGAGCGAACCGG